CGCGGUAAGUGUUACAGUUCUUAAAGGCGGCGUGUCCAGAGUUUAUUCUUUCUGACAUUCGGAUGUGUUCAGAAGGGUGCUGAUUGGUGUGUUUACAAUCCCUGAGCUAGACACAAAAGUUCUCCACGUCCCCACUAGAUUAGCUAGGCACAGAGUGUCCAUUGCUGCAUUCACAAACCCUGAGCUAGACACAGGGUGCUGAUUGGUGUGUUU
rnacentral:lncRNA from 1 species